CCUACGGGUGACAGCAGUGAGGAAUAUUGGUCAAUGGGCGCGAGCCUGAACCAGCCAAGUAGCGUGAAGGAUGACUGCCCUACGGGUUGUAAACUUCUUUUAUAAAGGAAUAAAGUUAGGCACGUGUGCCUGUUUGUAUGUACUUUAUGAAUAAGGAUCGGCUAACUCCGUGCCAGCAGCCGCGGUAAUACGGAGGAUCAGAGCGUUAUCCGGAUUUAUUGGGGUUAAAGGGAGCGUAGAUGGGUUGUUAAGUCAGGUGUGAAAGUUUGCGGCUCAACCAUAAAAGUGCAAUUGAUACUGGCAGUCUUGAGUGCAGUGGAGGUAGGCGGAAUUCGUGGUGUAGCGGUGAAAUGCUUAGAUAUCACGAAGAACUCCGAUUGCGAAGGCAGCAUACUAAACGGCCACUGACAUUGAUGCUCGAAAGUGUGGGUAUCGAACAGGAUUAGAUACCCGAGUAGUC
rnacentral:rRNA from 1 species